AGAUCACAUGCAAUACUUAGGGUAUUGCAUGGUGUGCAAUUACUUUAAUCCUAGCCAUUCAAUUGAUCUAAUGCUCAAAAGUUGGACAGCUCAUUUGGACACGUCAGCAAUCCGUGUGACUCUCAUCUCUCUCUCUCUCUCUCUCUCUCUCUCUCUCUCAUGCCUCAAAAUAAGCCACUAGUGAUGCUCAGGUUACUUCUCCAUCGAAGUGCACCAAUAGUAUUUCAUCUACCCACCCAAAAAUAAAUGUAGUUAGAUCUGUCUUCAGGGAGAUUCAUCAAGUUGAUAAAUGUUCUAGGCUACUCUUCAAAUGGGCUGAUUCCAUCAACUUUCUGCUCACAGAAGAGAUGGGAAUCGAGGCAAGGAACAAAGGACAAGAGAUCUCUCAAGUUUACCACUCCAUUAAGGAGGGAUUAGAUUUUUGACUCCUUGGAAUGACAGGGAGGUUUUUGCACGGUUUAACCCAAACCAUCACAAUGGACUACCACUGUAGUUAGUUAAUAACUUUUUUUCAAUUUCAAAAUUUUAAUUGACCAAUUCAAAAUGCAAUUUUGGUUCUGAGGAAUGUAAGAAUCAGUUGAUGGCUUUAUUUUGAUGAAUAGAUGUGAUGUAUACAACUCUGUUUUGUGAAUAGCAUGUAGUGAAGGAGUUCUGUUAUUA